rnacentral:lncRNA from 1 species
NNNNNNNNNNNNNNNNNNNNNNNNNNNNNNNNNNNNNNNNNNNNNNNNNGUCCGGGAGGGGCCCAGGCGUCCGGGAGGGACCCAGGAGUCCAGGAAGGGGCCCAGGCAUCCAGGGGGGCCCAGGAGUCCGGGAGGGGCCCAGGAGUCCGGGAGGGGCCCAGGCGUCCAGGAGGGACCCAGGCGUCUGGGAGGGACCCAGGUGUCCGGGAGGGACCCAGGAGUCCAGAAAGGGACACAGGCGUCCGGGGGGGCCCAGGCGUCCGGGAGGGACCCAGGUGUCCAGAAGGGACCCAGGCGUCCGGGAGGGACCCAGGUGUCCAGAAGGGGCCCAGGAGUCCGGGAGGGGCCCAGGCGUCCGGGAGGGGCCCAGGAGUCCGGGAAGGACCCAGGCAUCCGGGAGAGACUCAGGCGUCCGGGAGGGACCCAGGCGUCCGGAAGGGACCCAGGAGUCCGGGAGGGGCCCAGGAGUCCGGGAAGGGGCCCAGGCAUCCGGGGGGGCCCAGGCGUCCGGGAGGGGCCCAGGCGUCCGAGAGGGGCCCAGGAGUCCGGGAGGGACCCAGGUGUCUGGAAGGGGCCCAGGAGUCCGGGAAGGGGCCCAGGCAUCCGGGAGAGACCCAGGUGUCUGGAAGGGGCCCAGGUGUCCGGAAGGGGCCCAGGCAUCCGGGAGGGACCCAGGAGUCCGGGGGGAUCCAGGCGUCCAAGGAGGGACCCAGGUGUCUGGGAAGGACCCAGGUGUCCAGAAGGGGCCCAGGCGUCCGGGAGGGACCCAGGAGUCCAGGGAGGGCCCAGGAGUCCGGGGAGGGACCCAGUUUUUCCGGGAGGGACCCAGGAAUCCAGGGAGGGGCCCAGGCAUCCGGGUGCCCCCCCCAAAAAGGACCCAGAAGUCCAAGUGUCCCCCCAAAAAGGGGCCCAGGCGUCCGGGCCCCCCCCCACCAGCCCAUCCCAUCCCAGCCUCCGACAUCCGUCCUCCCCCCCAGGCCUUAUCCCAGGGGCCCAGGCGUCCGGGCCUUCCCCUUCCGAACUCCAAGACCCUCCU